GACGAACGCUGGCGGCGUGCUUAACACAUGCAAGUCGAACGGAAAGGCCCUGCUGUUGUGGGGUGCUCGAGUGGCGAACGGGUGAGUAACACGUGAGUAACCUGCCCUUGACUUUGGGAUAACUUCAGGAAACUGGGGCUAAUACCGGCUAGGAGCUCCUGCUGCAUGGUGGGGGUGGGAAAGUUUCGGCGGUUGGGGAUGGACUCGCGGCUUAUCAGCUUGUUGGUGGGGGAGUGGCUUACCAAGGCUUUGACGGGUAGACGGCCUGAGAGGGUGACCGGCGACCUUGGGACUGAGAUACGGCGCAGACUCCUACGGGAGGCAGCAGUGGGGAAUAUUGCACAAUGGGCGGAAGCCUGAUGCAGCAACGCCGCGUGCGGGAUGACGGCCUUCGGGUUGUAAACCGCUUUCGCCUGUGACGAAGCGUGAGUGACGGUAAUGGGUAAAGAAGCACCGGCUAACUACGUG
rnacentral:rRNA from 1 species